rnacentral:rRNA from 1 species
AGUGAACGCUGGCGGCAGGCCUAACACAUGCAAGUCGAGCGGCAGCGCGUCCGACCACCCUCGGGUGGUCGGAUGGCGGCGAGCGGCGGACGGGUGAGGAAUGCAUCGGAAUCUGCCUCGUUGUGGGGGAUAACGUAGGGAAACUUACGCUAAUACCGCAUACGACCUACGGGUGAAAGUGGGGGACCUUCGGGCCUCACGCGAUGAGAUGAGCCGAUGCCGGAUUAGCUAGUUGGCGGGGUAAAGGGCCCACCAAGGCGACGAUCCGUAGCUGGUCUGAGAGGAUGAUCAGCCACACUGGAACUGAGACACGGUCCAGACUCCUACGGGAGGCAGCAGUGGGGAAUAUUGGACAAUGGGGGCAACCCUGAUCCAGCCAUGCCGCGUGUGUGAAGAAGGCC